rnacentral:rRNA from 1 species
UACAGAGGUCUCAAGCGUUGUUCGGAUUCAUUGGGCGUAAAGGAUGCGUAGGCGGACAUUUAAGUCAGAUGUGAAAUACCCGAGCUUAACUUGGGUGCUGCAUUUGAAACUGGGUGUCUAGAGUGCAGGAGAGGUAAGUGGAAUUCCUAGUGUAGCGGUGAAAUGCGUAGAGAUUAGGAAGAACACCAGUGGCGAAGGCGACUUACUGGACUGUAACUGACGCUGAGGCAUGAAAGCGUGGGGAGCAAACAGG